GACCUUCUGGUGCUUAACCACAGGCUGUGUUCUUAUACUGACUGUAUAGAAAGAGGAAGCAAAGAAAACCUACCCUAUAUACACCUCAGCCAGGCCCUGUGCCUGGUCUGUAUUGUGAACGGGGAUGU
rnacentral:snoRNA from 1 species